GUUUUCAGUUUCGCCAUUAA
rnacentral:siRNA from 1 species